rnacentral:rRNA from 1 species
AUUGAACGCUGGCGGCAUGCUUUACACAUGCAAGUCGAACGGUAACAGGGAGCUUGCUCCGCUGACGAGUGGCGAACGGGUGAGUAAUGCGUCGGAACGUGCCGAGUAGUGGGGGAUGACGCAUCGAAAGGUGUGCUAAUACCGCAUACGUACUGAGGUAGAAAGUGGGGGACCUUCGGGCCUCACGCUAUUCGAGCGGCCGAAGUCUGAUUAGCUAGGUGGUGAGGUAAAGGCUCACCAAGGCGACGAUCAGUAGGGGGUCUGAGAGGAUGGACCGCCAACCUGGGAAUGGGACACGGGCCAGACUCCUACGGGAGGCAGCAGUGGGGAAUUUUGGACAAUGGGCGCAAGCCUGAUCCAGCCAUGCCGCGUGUCUGAAGAAGGCCUUCGGGUUGUAAAGGACUUUUGUCCGGGAGCAAAUGCCUGGUGUUAAUAGCACUGGGAGCUGAGAGUACCGGAAGAAUAAGCACCGGCUAACUACGUGCCAGCCGCCGCCGUAACAC